rnacentral:sRNA from 1 species
UUCAAUAUUUUCCAAGUGAAGUAAAAAAUAAAAUAAAGAGAGAAAUAAAAUAAAAGCAAAACAGAAAAAAAAGAACUCAACAAGUGGUGGUCUUUCGUUGAGUUUACAACAACGUUACGCCUUCGUUCCGUUCCCUCUCUGUUCGUGUGUGUGUGUGUCGUGAGUCCGUUUUGUUAUCAAAAAACGUGCAAAGCGAGCGCCCCCCUUUAUUGUAUUGUGUUUUACAAAAAGAAAAUAAAUACAAAGUUGAAAGAAGAAAAAAUAAAAGAGUGGCGAAAAAGUCGUCUCAAGGAAAUUAAAUAAAAUUCCAUAAAAUUUUCCAGAAAAGAAAAGUUGGACGUCAUCAUUAAUUAUUAUCUCUGACGUUUAUAAUUCAUUGCUUAAUUUAACCAACAAGGCGAAGAGAGAGAGAGAGAGCGAAAGAGAAAGAAAAGCCUAAAUGUGUGUUGAAAAGAGUAAAAAUAAUAAACGAUUAGCCUGUUAUCAGAGACUAAAGUUCGUGUGAA